GAUGAACGCUAGCUACAGGCUUAACACAUGCAAGUCGAGGGGUAACGAGAGGAAAGCUUGCUUUCCUUGUCGACGACCGGCGCACGGGUGAGUAACGCGUAUCCAACCUGCCCCCAACUAGGGAAUAACCUUGCGAAAGUAAGACUAAUACCCUAUAAUUUCCUCAGAUGUCAUCUGACGAGGAAUAAAGAUUUAUCGGUUGUGGAUGGGGAUGCGUCUGAUUAGCUUGUUGGCGGGGUAACGGCCCACCAAGGCAACGAUCAGUAGGGGUUCUGAGAGGAAGGUCCCCCACAUUGGAACUGAGACACGGUCCAAACUCCUACGGGAGGCAGCAGUGAGGAAUAUUGGUCAAUGGGCGGAAGCCUGAACCAGCCAAGUAGCGUGCAGGAUGACGGCCCUAUGGGUUGUAAACUGCUUUUAUACAGGAAUAAAGUUAGCCACGUGUGGUUAUUUGUAGGUACUGUAUGAAUAAGGACCGGCUAAUUCCGUGCCAGCCGCCGCAGUAA
rnacentral:rRNA from 1 species